CCGCCUCAGGCGCGGGGGUGGGGGCCUUCGGGUAGGACGCCCGGCUCGGCGUCUCUGCUGAGAGGAGCUCGGUCUCCGUCUCCUUAGGACUCGCUGGGGUUUCGGCUUCAGGACAAAGUGGCGCUGCGUCCACGCUGACUAGGGAACUAGGUCUCCUGAGGACCCAGGUGAUGCCUGAGGAAAAGGUGAAGAGACGGUCGUCCACAACACGGAGGACAGCGGCUCCUAAUAUAACCUUCCCACAGUGCCUCUAAAUGACGUGUGGACUUUGGGUGAACUGGAUCUGGGAUUCCCAGGACCCUCGGGUGUGCAUCAUGUUCCCUCCAAGAUCA